GUGCCAGCAGCCGCGGUAAUACGUAGGUGGCAAGCGUUAUCCGGAAUUAUUGGGCGUAAAGCGCGCGUAGGCGGUUUUUUAAGUCUGAUGUGAAAGCCCACGGCUCAACCGUGGAGGGUCAUUGGAAACUGGAAAACUUGAGUGCAGAAGGGGAAAGUGGAACUCCAUGUGUAGCGGUGAAAUGCGCAGAGAUAUGGAGGAACACCAGUGGCGAAGGCGACUUUCUGGUCUGUAACUGACGCUGAUGUGCGAAAGCGUGGGGAUCAGACAGGAUUAGAUA
rnacentral:rRNA from 1 species